GAGAUCGCCUCUCGCAUCCAAGUUCAAAUUUCACUUUCUGUAAAUUAUAUUAAUUUAGAGUAGUUUAGACAAUCACUUGUAUCAAAACUUUUAUGCCUAAUCUUUAAUUUUAUGCUCUCUAAACAAAGCCAUAAAUGUUCUAAAUCUUUCAUAAUCCCCUUAAACAUAAUCUUAACUAAUACACCUGAAUAAACUCCCAUCAACACUAAAAAAAAUUACUUAAAAAACAAUCAGAAAAUUAAAAAGAAUAAAAAAGCUUGCGUGACUGAAGAGUUUGGAAGAAUUAUCAAGAAUCAGAAAGUAAUUGAUUACUGUAGGAAGAGUGGGUAACAUGCUCCAUCUCUGGACAUAAAAGCAAAAGGCAUGUAGUUGUAAGAUACAAUAGUAAUAUUCAUUUGAUCUUAGUGGGAUAGAUUUGUCAUUUGGUUAACAAGCAUGGAGGACACAGCAUAUUUAAAAGAGUUAACAUUCUUACUAUGUUUUCCCCUUUCUUGCUCACGCUUUGUUUCUGUAUUAAGAAAUCAUAUCCCAAAAAAGGGCAUUUGUGGGGACUGGAGAUGGAUUUCUUUUGCUUGGGCAAGCCAUCCCUCAAGUUAUUACUUUUUGACCGUUUCAACAGGGGCCCUAAACACUAAUUAGAGCAAGUAAUUACGGUGUAAUAUUAGAUUAUGACUACGUGGUAUAAUUUGUUCAAGUGUUAUAAUAUAAAUAAAUAUUUAUUGAGACUAGACCUUCAAAAUAAAAAAUUUUAAUUUUGUCGCCCACUCAAAUUAUAAUACGUGAACAAAUUAUAUUAUAUAGCUAUAUUUCAAUGCUAUACAACAAUUUCUGAACUUGCAGGGAUAUAUCUUGCCCUGAUCUCAAGGCAAGCCCAAUGUACAAUAUUCUAGCCAACAGUAAGAGUUGCUUGCCAUAAUGAGGUCAUAGAUGCUUAUCAGACUGAAACACAUUCGUGGACAUUUCCCCUACAGAUGGCACAUGCAUCUACAAGGAGUUCGAGUUCAAUUUUGCUUCCAUUUUGGAAGAUCAUAAAUUCAUCGGUUUAAAAUAUCUAAAAUUUAUGGUUUAUUUGUAGGUUCUAAAAUGGGCAAAAUAGAUUUUGAAACGAAGUUUUUUUUUUUUUUACAUAAAAAGCAAGAGGUUUGUAAUUUAAGUGGUUAAGAGUAGUUAAUUUUGCAUAUCAUAUUUUAUAUUCAAAUCACUCCUCUCCUGAUAUCGAUCGUAUGAAAAAGAAAUUAAAGAAAAAAAAU
rnacentral:lncRNA from 1 species